UUGGUGGUGCUUGUCAAAGGCUUCGUAGCAGCGGCCCUGGCAGGAGGAAAGGGGUUCUGAGUUGCAAAUCAGAAACUUGAAGAUGAAAUGGCUGCUACGCUGGGUAUUGCCUUUAUCUUGAAUGCCAGCCUGAUGGUCCAAAGUGAACAAGCCUUCCUGUGUUUUCUGAAUGUUCCCCCGCACUUUGCCUGCCACCAUGUAAGAUGUGUCUUUGCGCCUCCUUUGCCUUCCACCAUGAUUGUGCGGCCUCCCCAGCCAUGUGGAACGGCUGGAAAUGAUGGUAUGGAGAUGUUGCACCACGUGGUCCCUUCACUAGAGGAAGAGUGGUAUGAAUCGUGCCCGUCACUGUGACACCAUGCAGUCUUCUGGCAGUACACAAGUUGUGAGAGUUUGCUACCAUUUUUACAUUUUUGUGAUUUAAAGUGUUGAAUAACAAUUAAUAAUGUCAUACAUACUAAA
rnacentral:antisense_RNA from 1 species